AUGGAUGUCUGUCCGUCUCCUAAGAGCUCCAUGUCUGACUCUUCUUCCACAGACUUCAGUUUCCUGAAGUAUGAAAAAGAUGCAUUUCCUGACCUGACAGAGAGGCAGACAUCCUCGUCGGCCGCCACUCGCUCACUCACAAACACACACAAGGACAAAUUCAACAGCUCCAUCGGUCCUUGGUGACUGAGAGGCGAAUCUUCCAUCUCCUGCUGGCAGCUUCAGCGCGCGUCAAGGUCACUCCUCCAUUCAGAGCCACCCAGCGUGUUUUGAUAAACACCGAGGGGAAGCGACCUUGAUCGGCUGCCAUUUUUUUCUCCAUCUCAUGCGCUGAAGCUAACGCUCAAGUUGAAUUUGGCUAUUUAAUUAAGUCUUUCAGCGCCCAAGAAAUAAAUAUUGUGCAUC